rnacentral:rRNA from 1 species
GACGAACGCUGGCGGCGUGCUUAACACAUGCAAGUCGAACGGAAAGGCCCUGCUUUUGUGGGGUGCUUGAGUGGCGAACGGGUGAGUAACACGUGAGUAAACCGCCCUUGACUUUGGGAUAACUCCAGGAAACUGGGGCUAAUACCGGAUAGGAGCUCUUGCUGCACGGGGGGGGUUGGAGAGUUACGGCGGUUGGGGAUGGACUCGCGGCUUAUCAGCUUGUUGGUGAGGUAGUGGCUUACCAGGGCUUUGACGGGUAGCCGGCCUGAGAGGGUGACCGGGCACCUGGGGACUGAGAUACGGCCCAGACUCGUACGGGAGGCAGCAGUGGGGAAUCUUGCACAAUGGGGGGAAGCCGGAUGCAGCAGCGUCGCGUGCGGGAUGACGGCCUUCGGGUUGUGAACCGAUUUCGCCGGAGACGUGGCGUGAGUGACGGUACUGGGUAAGGAAGCACCGGCUAACUACGUG